rnacentral:rRNA from 1 species
GAUGAACGCUAGCGGGAGGCUUAAUACAUGCAAGUCGGACGGUAACAGGUCUUCGGACGCUGACGAGUGGCGAACGGGUGCGUAACGCGUACACAACCUACCUUUACUGGGGGAUAGUUUUGGGAAACUGGGAGUAAUACCCCAUUCGUUUGAGCUGCGGCAUCGCGGUUCAAAGAAAGGUUUACUGGUGAGAGAUGGGUGUGCGUCCAAUUAGGUAGUUGGUAGGGUAACGGCCUACCAAGCCGACGAUUGGUAGCUGGUCUGAGAGGAUGAUCAGCCACACGGGCACUGAGACACGGGCCCGACUCCUACGGGAGGCAGCAGUAGGGAAUAUUGGUCAAUGGACGGAAGUCUGAACCAGCCAUCCCGCGUGCAGGAAGAAGGAUCUUUGGUCUGUAAACUGCUUUUCUCAAGGAAGAGAGAUAGAGAUUAAUCUUUAGAGGACGGUACUUGAGGAAUAAGCACCGGCUAACUCCGUG